rnacentral:misc_RNA from 1 species
GAUGAAGAACGCAGCGAAAUGCGAUAAGUAAUGUGAAUUGCAGAAUUCAGUGAAUCAUCGAAUCUUUGAACGCACAUUGCGCCCGCUAGUAUUCUGGCGGGCAUGCCUGUCCGAGCGUCAUUUCAACCCUCAAGCCCCUCCGGGGGCCUGGCGUUGGGGAUCGGCCCCGCUCCGGCGGCCGGCCCCGAAAUGUAGUGGCGGUCUCGCCGCUGCCUCCUCUGCGUAGUAGAAACACCUCGCAUUGGGACGCGGCGGGCCCACGCCGUUAACCAGAUGAAUUUUUUCAAGGUUGACCUCGGAUCAGGUAGGAAUACCCGCUGAACUUAAGCAUAUCAUAAGCGGAGGA